UGAAUUUGGAACAAGAGAUGAAGAAAAUGUCGGUAUUUGGGCUUUUGGGUUAAUUGUUAUUGUUCUCGGCGGAUUCGCAAUACUCUAUUACUUAAGCAUGAUGGACGGACACAUCAAAUAUUUGAUUUUCGUUGCCGUUUGAACAGCACACAGUGCCCAUGCGAUAAGCUUUCAUUGGGACAAGGCGCCAAAAUAUUUGAAUCUUUAAAUUGCCCAUUUGCUCAAUCGUGUGUACACAUUUCGAGAGUCUUAAAUAUUUCUAUGCACACGUGUUUAGUGUUAAACCGAUUUAUCACUAUUAACAUUUUCCUAAAAAAUUGUUCAAUUAGCACCCGUCUACCGGUUUUAAAUUCCAAACCGAAAAUAAAUACAGAUGCGUACUACGUCAAACAUGAAUGUUUUCGUUGCGUUAUUGCUGAAAUCAUGGGAUUUAAUAGGAAAUCAAUGACAUAGCCCAUUGGAUCAUAUAACGAUCCAAAAUCAAAAAUAAAAAUCCAACUCAAAUACUGUCGUCCAAAACAAAGUAGCUUUCUCUCUCGACAUUUACGCAUCCAAAUGUUUGCUUUCGGCAAUAAAAAAAGAAA